rnacentral:rRNA from 1 species
AUGAGUGGCGAACGGGUGAGUAACACGUGAGUAACCUGCCCUCUUCUUUGGGAUAACGCCCGGAAACGGGUGCUAAUACUGGAUAUUCACUGAUCUCCGCAUGGGGGUUGGUGGAAAGGUUUUUUCUGGUGGGGGAUGGGCUCGCGGCCUAUCAGCUUGUUGGUGGGGUGAUGGCCUACCAAGGCUUUGACGGGUAGCCGGCCUGAGAGGGUGACCGGUCACAUUGGGACUGAGAUACGGCCCAG